rnacentral:piRNA from 1 species
UGCCCAGCCUCACUAGACAUUUCUCUGCU